ensembl:lncRNA
AAGAGCUCGGUGCAGGGCACCAGCUGAGAGCAAAUUAACCCACACCCUCCUGCUGCUGCCCUAGGCACCAGCUCCAAAGAUCACAACUGUACUUUUCAUUACCUCCCAGUUGCUGCUACAACAGUAAUGAUAUGCUUAAGGGAAAGGACUAGUGCAUACAGACAGGUUGGCAACAGGGACAACGAUGUCAGGGAUGGGUGUUGCUGAGUUCAUACACUACAGCCUUUACCAUUCUGCCUACCUGCAUGUAAUCAGUACCACUUGCAUGUAACAACUAAUCCCACCACAUCUGAAAUCCUUAUUCUUUGCUGGUAACUAAGAAGUUUUUUAAACCACAUUUUCUUUCAUAUUUUCUCCUACCUCUGCUUCUAUUUUUUCAUACAGGCAGCUCCUGCUGCAGUAAUAUCUGUAUGGUAAAUGAGCAGAUUUAACUCUAGAGUCCUCCACAUCAGCAGCUGAAAUGUUGGUACCUUUGUUUUAUUAGUGGGCCUUAGCUGGGCUCCAAAGUUGUCACUUUCAAAGAGUUUUGUGUUUGUCUGUCUAUCUUCUUAAUUUGUAGGUACCCUCUCAGCAGAGGAGAGAAGAGAGGAGUGUGCAGAGGAGCUUCAGAAAGUCAAUGUAGAGGUUUAUUCUUAAAAAUGAAUUUUUAGAAGGGUAAUUUCAAAACUACAUCCGAGAGAGGAAGACCCACGUCUUUCUUGUGAAAAUUAGUAAAUCAAAACAAAUCAUAGUUAGACUACCUGGGUAGAGUACAAUAAAAAACUCUUUUGCAAACAGUUUCAAGCCCCUACCUACUGCUCAAAAAAAGGGCUCAUGCUCUGUUUGUGUUCAUUUCUACAAAAAUUAAACUUGAUAAUCAGAAAAGUUAAAUUACAUUAAAAAUAAUCCCGGUGACAUAAAUAUUAUAAGCCUCUUGAAUCUUGUCACACAGGAAUGUCUUGUUUGAAUGCCAUUUUCACACAUAUGAGAUACACAGAUUUAACAGGAUCAGCCAAAAGUAUUUGUGCAAAUGAAAAGAGCACAUAUCUGUAUCAGCAGUAAGGACCUCUGGCAGCCUGGUGCACAAAGAAUGUAAAUUCAGACAUAGCAAUGCAGCACCCGGGUAUGGAAAAGAGAGAAAUAUGAAAGGUGCCGCAGGUGGGUAGCAAUGAGUGGAGCUGACAGACUCAUAUUAUUAAUGCAGCUCAACACUUCACGAUAUUAUUCUGUGGUUUUGACUUAACUGGAUUUUUGUUAACCACAAUUCCGAAGCUCUCUAAGCUGGCUACCCAAACCAGUCUGAAUUUUGCAGACCAUUUCAAUUAAAUCUUUAAAACAAAAUUCAGGCAUCUCUUCUAGUAACCUCAUACUUUGAAACCACAGCUUGAAAUACAGAGUUGAAGAAAAUCUACAUCCAAUUUAUAUUAUUUGCCGUGGCUGUACUGGGAGGAGUGAGCAGAUUCUCUUCUCUGCUCCUAGUUUCCAGAGUGCAUUAGGGAAGUGUGGAGGAGGAAAAUACCUGUUAUUCAGGCAGAGGGUCAGACAACAGGUUUACAGCUGAGGAAGAGGUGCCUGGACAGACACUGAAACUUGAAGCUUGCCAACACAAAGAGGAGAAGACCAUUGGUCUGGGAGUGAGAUUACCUGGCUAGCAUGGGAACUAGCCUUACAGAAGAAAACUCAGGCUGUUUGGUCAAGGAAACAGAGCUUUAAAAAGAUGAGUAAUUAAGACUAGGACUGAUUAAGUGAGUUGAAUAUUUGGAAGUGAAGAAAAAUCCCAUAAAUUUUAAAGAGAGUAAAAAUAAUCAGAACUG